GAUGAACGCUGGCGGCGUGCCUAAUACAUGCAAGUCGAGCGAACAGACGAGGAGCUUGCUCCUCUGACGUUAGCGGCGGACGGGUGAGUAACACGUGGAUAACCUACCUAUAAGACUGGGAUAACUUCGGGAAACCGGAGCUAAUACCGGAUAAUAUAUUGAACCGCAUGGUUCAAUAGUGAAAGACGGUUUUGCUGUCACUUAUAGAUGGAUCCGCGCCGCAUUAGCUUGUUGGUAAGGUAACGGCUUACCAAGGCAACGAUGCGUAGCCGACCUGAGAGGGUGAUCGGCCACACUGGAACUGAGACACGGUCCAGACUCCUACGGGAGGCAGCGGUAGGGAAUCUUCCGCAAUGGGCCAAAGCGUGACGGAGCAACGCCGCGUGAGUGAUGAAGGUCUUCGGAUCGUAAAACUCUGUUAUUAGGGAAGAACAAAUGUGUAAGUAACUAUGCACGUCUUGACGGUACCUAAUCAGAAAGCCACGGCUAACUACGUG
rnacentral:rRNA from 1 species